UGGGGAAUAUUGCACAAUGGGCGCAAGCCUGAUGCAGCCAUGCCGCGUGUAUGAAGAAGGCCUUCUGGUUGUAAAGUACUUUCAGCGGGGAGGAAGGGAGUAAAGUUAAUACCUUUGCUCAUUGACGUUACCCGCAGAAGAAGCACCGGCUAACUCCGUGCCAGCAGCCGCGGUAAUACGGAGGGUGCAAGCGUUAAUCGGAAUUACUGGGCGUAAAGCGCACGCAGGCGGUUUGUUAAGUCAGAUGUGAAAUCCUCGGGCUCAACCUGGGAACUGCAUUCGAAACUGGCAGGCUAGAGUCUUGUAGAGGGGGGUAGAAUUCCAGGUGUAGCGGUGAAAUGCGUAGAGAUCUGGAGGAAUACCGGUGGCGAAGGCGGCCCCCUGGACGAAGACUGACGCUCAGGUGCGAAAGCGUGGGGAGCAAACAGG
rnacentral:rRNA from 1 species